rnacentral:misc_RNA from 1 species
AACGCACCUUGCGCUCCUUGGUAUUCCGAGGAGCAUGCCUGUUUGAGUGUCAUUAAAUUCUCAACCUUUCCAGCUUUUGUGAGCUGUGAUAAGGCUUGGAUAUUGGGAGCUUGCGGGCCUGUAGAAGGUCGGCUCUCCUGAAAUACAUUAGCGGAACCGUUUGCAGUCCCGUCACUAGUGUGAUAAUUAUCUACACUGUGAUGACUGCUCUCUAGUUUGUUCAGCUGCUAAUCGUCCAUUACUGGACAACGCUUAAUGAACCUCUUGACCUCAAAUCAGGUAGGACUACCCGCUGAACUUAA